rnacentral:rRNA from 1 species
UUGAACGCUGGCGGCAGGCCUCACACAUGCAAGUCGAGCGGAUGAAGGGAGCUUGCUCCUGGCUUCAGCGGCGGACGGGUGAGUAAUGCCUAGGAAUCUGCCUGGUAGUGGGGGAUAACGUCCGGAAACGGGCGCUAAUACCGCAUACGUCCUGAGGGAGAAAGUGGGGGAUCUUCGGACCCCACGCUAUCAGAUGAGCCUAGGUCGGAUUAGCUAGUUGGUGGGGUAAAGGCCUACCAAGGCGACGAUCCGUAACUGGCCUGAGAGGAUGAUCAGUCACACUGGAACUGAGACACGGUCCAGACUCCUACGGGAGGCAGCAGUGGGGAAUAUUGGACAAUGGGCGAAAGCCUGAUCCAGCCAUGCCGCGUGUGUGAAGAAGGUCUUCGGAUUGUAAAGCACUUUAAGUUGGGAGGAAGGGCAGUAAGUUAAUACCUUGCUGUUUUGACGUUACCAACAGAAUAAGCACCGGCUAACUUCGUG